UCAUAUAUAUAUAUAUAUAUAUGCACGUAUGUUCGAUAAGAUAAGUCGAGAAAUUUAAGUAUAAAUAUAUUAGUGUAGUUAAAUUAAAUGAAGUAGUAUGACAGAUAAUAUUGUAUUGUAAUGUUUAUACAAAUAUUUAAAAGUACAAAGUACGAUAUAGUAACACGACGAGAAAACAUCGAAGCUCAUUCUUUCUAAACGUGAAAACUUAAAAAGACCGUAACACGCAAGAAGUUUGAAAUUUGGAUCCUGGAACAGUUGGCCUUGUGCAAUAUCGACAUAUUGGGAUAUUUAUUGAAGAUUUGCGGAUCAGUUCUCCUUAGUCCUCCGAGGUUCAACAUCGAAGGCUUUUCAGUUUGUUUUUGCUACGAGUAUCAACGAAAAUUUUAAAACUUCAUUACAAUCGCACGCGUAGUAAUGAUGUAAUCGAGUGUUUGUAUCGCUAAAAUAAAAAUUAUCGCGAAGUAGAAGCAGUGUUUGUUCGUUCACUUUUCGCGAUUUAAUUAUUAAAUGUUUUUUCAUCGACUGCGUGCAAUGCAGUCGUUAGAGUCAGUAUUUGUUCGCAAAAUGUAUUGCUUUUUUAACAGUCAUACAGACUGUAUUUAUAAAAGAUAGUAGAAUUUCGCGAAUUAACUUCAGUGACCGUUUGUUAAAGAAUACCUAACGCGUAAUAGAGUCAGUGCAUCAUUGAAAAGAAUUUCGACCAACUUCGAUGUCAAACUAUUUCAUUUUCAAUCACCUACGAAUCAUCCACCCUCAACUUCGACCGAAUUCACGAACGAGUGUUUUGGAGCCAUCGCAGAACUUCUUAAGUAGAUAGAUCAUCGAGAGAUAGAAUCAUCUACGUUCGGAUGCAUCCUCGUAGCAUGGUUGGUUUCAUCAUCGAUUUUUACGCGAGAAUACGGGCAGGAUAGGAGAACACUCUCACGCUUGUCGUCCUGCACAGGCGUGGGUGUUCACGGGCGCGAACUAAACUUCGUUUGAUUGAUCGUAUCGAA